rnacentral:rRNA from 1 species
AUGCAGUCGAACGGUGAUGUCAGAGCUUGCUCUGGCGGAUCAGUGGCGAACGGGUGAGUAACACGUGAGUAACCUGCCCCCGACUCUGGGAUAACUGCUAGAAAUGGUAGCUAAUACCGGAUAUGACGAUUGGCCGCAUGGUCUGGUCGUGGAAAGAAUUUCGGUUGGGGAUGGACUCGCGGCCUAUCAGGUUGUUGGUGAGGUAAUGGCUCACCAAGCCUACGACGGGUAGCCGGCCUGAGAGGGUGACCGGCCACACUGGGACUGAGACACGGCCCAGACUCCUACGGGAGGCAGCAGUGGGGAAUAUUGCACAAUGGGCGAAAGCCUGAUGCAGCAACGCCGCGUGAGGGAUGACGGCCUUCGGGUUGUAAACCUCUUUUAGUAGGGAAGAAGCGAAAGUGACGGUACCUGCAGAAAAAGCACCGGCUAACUACGUGCCAGCAGCCGCGGUAAUACGUAGGGUGCAAGCGUUGUCCGGAAUUAUUGGGCGUAAAGAGCUCGUAGGCGGUUUGUCGCGUCUGCUGUGAAAUCCCGAGGCUCAACCUCGGGUCUGCAGUGGGUACGGGCAGACUAGAGUGCGGUAGGGGAGAUUGGAAUUCCUGGUGUAGCGGUGGAAUGCGCAGAUAUCAGGAGGAACACCGAUGGCGAAGGCAGAUCUCUGGGCCGUAACUGACGCUGAGGAGCGAAAGCAUGGGGAGCGAACAGGAUUAGAUACCCUGGUAGUCCAUGCCGUAAACGUUGGGAACUAGAUGUGGGGACCAUUCCACGGUCUCCGUGUCGCAGCUAACGCAUUAAGUUCCCCGCCUGGGGAGUACGGCCGCAAGGCUAAAACUCAAAGGAAUUGACGGGGGCCCGCACAAGCGGCGGAGCAUGCGGAUUAAUUCGAUGCAACGCGAAGAACCUUACCAAGGCUUGACAUAUACCGGAAACAUGCAGAAAUGUGUGCCCCGCAAGGUCGGUAUACAGGUGGUGCAUGGUUGUCGUCAGCUCGUGUCGUGAGAUGUUGGGUUAAGUCCCGCAACGAGCGCAACCCUCGUUCUAUGUUGCCAGCACGUAAUGGUGGGAACUCAUAGGAGACUGCCGGGGUCAACUCGGAGGAAGGUGGGGAUGACGUCAAAUCAUCAUGCCCCUUAUGUCUUGGGCUUCACGCAUGCUACAAUGGCCGGUACAAAGGGCUGCGAUACCGUAAGGUGGAGCGAAUCCCAAAAAGCCGGUCUCAGUUCGGAUUGAGGUCUGCAACUCGACCUCAUGAAGUCGGAGUCGCUAGUAAUCGCAGAUCAGCAACGCUGCGGUGAAUACGUUCCCGGGCCUUGUACACACCGCCCGUCAAGUCAUGAAAGUCGGUAACACCCGAAGCCAGUGGCCUAACCGCAAGGGAGGAGCUGUCGAAGGUGAU